UUAAGUUCAGCGGGUAGUCUUACUUGAUUUGAGAUCGAGUUUAACAAGAAUCGUUGCCGACCCUUGUGAAAUCCUGCAUCAGUCAGCCAAUGCGGUCAAACUCCCUUUAUGUUAGCUGCAGCAAAAGUAAUAAUCCGUUUGACGGGACUAAAUGAAUAUGCUUUUAGCUCAGGAGAAAGUCCAGCUGCACCUGCAUUUCA
rnacentral:misc_RNA from 1 species